CACACACACAAUAAUUUGCAUAUUAAUCAUACUAGCAAUAAAGUAAAUAGGCUAACAUUGUGUGGUUUGUGUGGCGUGUGGUAUGUGUAAGGUGUGGACUGUGUAGCAUUUGGACUGUGUAGCGUGUGGACUGUGUAGUGUGUGGAGUGUGUUAUUUGUGGACUGUGUAGUGUGUGGACUGUGUAGUGUGUGGAGUGUGUUAUUUGUGGACUGUGUAGUGUGUGGACUGUGUAGCCUGUGGACUGUGUAGCGUGUGGACUGUGUAAUGUGUGGACUGUGUAGUGUGUGGACUGUGUAGUGUGUGGACUGUGUAGCGUGUGGAAUGUGUAGCGUGUGGAUUGUUAUGUGUGGACUGUGUAGUGUGUGGACUGUGUAACGUGUGGAUUGUGUAAUGUGUGGACUGUGUAAUGUGUGGACUGUGUAGUGUGUGGACUGUGUAAGGUGUGGACUGUGUAGUGUGUGGACUGUGUAAGGUGUGGACUGUGUAGCGUGUGGACUGUGUAAUGUGUGGACUGUGUAAUGUGUGGACUGUGUAGUGUGUGGAGUGUGUUAUUUGUGGACUGUGUGGACUGUGUAAGGUGUGGACUGUGUAGCGUGUGGACUGUGUAAUGUGUGGACUGUGUAGCGUGUGGACUGUGUAAUGUGUGGACUGUGUAACGUGUGGACUGUGUAAUGUGUGGAAUGUGUUGUGUGGACUGUGUAGUGUGUGGACUGUGUAAUGUGUGUAAUGUGUAGUGUGUGGACUGUGUAAUGUGUGGACUGUGUAGCGUGUGGACUGUGUAAGGUGUGGACUGUGUAGCGUGUGGACUGUGUAGCGUGUGGACUGUGUAGCGUGUGGACUGUGUAGUGUGUGUGUGUGUGCGAGAGUGAGAGAGAGAGUAGUGCUGUAUGUGCGUGCAUGUGGCACAUUGUGUGCGUGUGCAAUCAUGGCAUAGGGGAUUAUGUGUGUGUGUGUGUGUGUGUGUGUGUGUGUGUGUGUGUGUGUGUGUUUGUGUGUGUAUUAUUAAGAUUGACAGAGGGCUGUGUAUUAGGAGUUGGGUGGCA
ensembl:lncRNA